CGUUCACCGGCGAUGGCUGUAACUACUAUGGCUCCAUCUGCUGGUGGAGGUAGGAACUCCACCCCGAAACUCAGAGCAUUCCCCUCACACCUGAAACCCAUCAGGGUGUGACGACCUGGAGGCCUCCAUGAGGGCGGAAGACACACCGCUGAGGGAGGAGAGACGAGCUGCAGAUUGGGCCCGCGGCAGAAGAGCAGACCAAGACAGAAGGAUUCCCGAAUGCAGGAGAGACCGAGAGGACGGUGUUCUCUCUUUAAAGAAGUGGAUUUCCGUUUCCCCUCCAAAGACAAGACAUUAGUUAAGUUUUACCGGCGAAGAUCGACCGAAGCCUGAGUUACUCCCUGUUUUGACUGUUUUCUGUUUAAUCUGAAGGACGUAAAUUAAAACCUUUGUUUGCAUUUUUGAACUCUGUCCUCGCGCUAUUUGAACUACCCCGGAGAGAGCGGCGGCGCCUCUCGUGACGUCACAAGACAAAGCGUAGAACACGUGGUUCCCGCUCAUUUCCUUUGUUCAGUGGUGUGACUGGCCCGCUUUGCUAAAAGGGUUUAGUCAAAUUGACGAAGCGAUCAAGAGAGACAGAGUCAGGCUUACGGGCUUGUUAGAAAACGUCUUGUUUACGACAAUACACCGGUUGCUAUGCAACUUGGUAUGCCUGCUACCUUGUGUAGACCGACAAUCAUCCAACCCUUGAUCAUCUAAAAGAACGACAGACGCCUAAAACGUCAGCGUCCCUCCAAUGAACUCCCCCCUCUUCUCCACCACCUCCAUCUCUGAUUCACACACUCCCACAGCCAGGGCCUAUGAACACACAGGAAGAGAAGGCCUGUGAACCUCACCAGGUGUUUAAGGAUUCUGGAAUAUGUUAGAAUCUGGGCGCUACAUCUGCUGAACAAGGUCUGGCUUAAAUACAAUGUAGAGAUUGGUUAUGGCUGUCAGACAAAUAAUCCCAGUCAGAAAAAACAUCCUUGUUUGGAGCAAUGCGACUGCUUCUACCAACUACACUUUGAACCCAUAAUGAAAAGUUUGUGGAAUGAGAACUUCAUAUCCGCCGUCUCCCUGUUUAUGGCUGUGGAUCAUCUUCAUGUCGACUGGUACCACAUCCAGGAGGCUGCGGAAGUUCUUUUAAACCAUCUGAACUAUGUGGAC
ensembl:lncRNA